GAUGAACGCUGGCGGUAUGCCUAACACAUGCAAGUCGUACGAGAGUUUUUAACUCUAGUGGCGGACGGGUGAGUAACACGUGAGAAUUUGCCUUUAGGAGGGGGAUAACAAUUGGAAACGAAUGCUAAUACCCCAUAUGCUUUCGAGUGAAAUGGAUUUUAUCCGCCUAGAGAGAAGCUCGCGGCUGAUUAGCUUGUUGGUAAGGUAAGAGCUUACCAAGGCGACGAUCAGUAUCUGGUUUGAGAGGACGAUCAGACACACUGGAACUGAGACACGGUCCAGACUCCUACGGGAGGCAGCAGUGGGGAAUUUUCCGCAAUGGGCGAAAGCCUGACGGAGCAAUACCGCGUGAGGGAAGAAUGCCUAUGGGUUGUAAACCUCUUUUUUCUAGGGAGGAAGUAAAAUGACGUGUACCUGAAGAAUAAGCAUCGGCUAACUCCGUG
rnacentral:rRNA from 1 species